rnacentral:misc_RNA from 1 species
AAGUCGUAACAAGGUUUCCGUAGGUGAACCUGCGGAAGGAUCAUUAUUGAAAAAGGAGAAGCCCCGUUUUUAUUCCUUCGAGAAACCGAACGGGUUCAAUUCCCACAACCGUGUAUACCUUACCUUUGUUGCUUUGGCAGGCCGCCUCCGGGCGUCGGCUCCGGCUGACUGCGCCUGCCAGAGGACCCAAACUCUGUGUCUAGUAAUGUCUGAGUAAUAUAAAAUAUUUAAAACUUUCAACAACGGAUCUCUUGGUUCUG